CGCGUAGGCGGCGUGGUAAGUCAGCUGUGAAAUCUCCGAGCUUAACUCGGAACGGUCAGCUGAUACUGCUGUGCUAGAGUACAGAAGGGGCAAUCGGAAUUCUUGGUGUAGCGGUGAAAUGCGUAGAUAUCAAGAGGAACACCUGAGGUGAAGACGGGUUGCUGGGCUGAUACUGACGCUGAGGCGCGAAAGCUAGGGUAGCAAACGGGAUUAGAUACCCCGGUAGUCCUAGCCCUAAACGAUGAAUGCUUGGUGUCUGGAGUUUUAAGUCUCCGGGUGCCGUCGCUAACGCUUUUAGCAUUCCGCCUGGGGAGUACGCACGCAAGUGUGAA
rnacentral:rRNA from 1 species